CAACCGGGGGCCUCAGUACAGGUGGUGCCACCAAAACCUCCUCCUGGGGUGCGGCCGCAGGCGCCGCACGCGAAGAACUGGGCGCGGGGGACGGCGCUCUCGGUGCAACGUCCACAACUGGUGCUGGCGGUGUAGGGGCCUGAGUCUCCCUAGAAGCUGCCGCCUGCUGCAAUAGUAGGUCCUCCAGACGCUUCAUCCGCGCCUCCUGUCGGCGCGCCGCCUCGGUCUGCUGUCGGGCCGCCUCCGCCUGCUGAGUGACCAAAUCAGUGAGGACCGCAAGCUGGCCCCUCAACUCACGGACCUCGCUGGAUCCGGAGGUAGCGGAGGUCUCGACCUCCUCGAAGUUUGCCGCAUUGUCCGCCCCGGCAGAUUGGGAGCGAGUAAUCGGCAUCGUCACUACAACAUCAUAAAAGCGCAAGUUAGAAAUACUCACGCUAUCGCAUCCCCGCUCAAAAGACAAACCCCAAAUCAUGCGAAAGUAAAGAAGUGUUCUUCACUACUAACUCCCGAUGUUACGUUGUCGGCCGCCAACGUAACCCUCCGCGAAGUUAGAAGCCAAACACUCCAAUCAACUCUAACUUUUUAGAGUUAUCAUAAUACCCAAUCAUGAUACUUUCGCUCACAAGUCGAAUAGACCUCGUCUCUCACGAGCCUAUUUCCUAUAGUCCAACCGGCCUAAGGUUUGCUAGGUCCCCUAAGACUCAACCCUAGGCUCUGAUACCAAAUUAAUCUGUCACGCCCCGGGACCCAGCGGAAGCCCGCCCGGCGCGUGCCCAGACCCGCCAUAUGUCUACAACAUAUAAGGCGUCUAAAAACAACAAUAAUAAAAGCAAUAAUAAAAGACAUCUAGGAGUAUCAGAGCAUAAUAAAUGUCUAAAUGCUACAACAAGGGAUAAGGAUAAAACUGUAAAUCCACUAAAUAAAACAUAAAGUGAUACAAGAAAAUCCCAGAUACAAGUGCUAUAGGUAGAUACAUAGGUGGUCUCUAUACAUGGAUACAAAAACUCUCACUCUCUCUCAACUACAAAAAGAAUGAGUAAACCACCUAGGCAAGGUACCGCUCCUCGCUAGCUAUCUAAGCGAUCCCCUUGCCGCGAUCCCGUGCCUCCGCCGGUGCCGAAGGCUCUGAAAAGUAAACCAUAAAACAGGGGCGUGAGAACUAUUAAAAAUAGUUCCCAGUGGGCAAUUACUGACUUCAGUGAAUGCACCACAAGGCCCAAAGCUACAAAAGAUGUCAGUGACUAUAAAAGUAGAAAAGCGAAAGGUAAGUAAAAAUGUAACUUACUACAACAUGAUAUCUCUACUUAGCAUAAUUAGCAUAAGUAUGAAGCAACUAUGCAUGAAGUAAAAGUCUCCAACUAUCAUAAUGUUCACAAUGCGAAAUAGUAAAGUUCCGUUGUUUACUAUUCUAGUCAAUGUCCAAGUAAUACUCUAAGUCAUCAUCUGUCCACAUGUCAUAAUGAAUACUCAAGUCAAAUCUGAAGAGACCCACCCGAAGGCUGUCUAUGGCCCUGAGACCCACCCGUAGGCUGUCUGGCCGGUGCCGAGCCUAAUGGCCCCGUGGUAGUCAUCAUCCCCACCCUAGGAAUGAGCCUGUCCCACGGCAAUCCACUUCGGCGCCCAAUCCCGCACGGCGAAUAUGAAUCGCGAUGGCUAUCUCCGGAGUGCCGGCUUGUAGGGAGCGACCCUCACAAGCAUGUGCGAAUGAGCACAAAUGGCAAGCAAGCAAUGAUCCGUCUCAAGUACCAAGUCCUCAUGUCUAACAACAUGGAAUAUAUCAAGUAUCUCAAUGGCCUAUCUCUAUGUCAUCAUGUCUCUAACAUGGAAUAUAGCAGAUACGUAGUGGCCUAUCAAUAUGUCUCUAUGUUGCAGUUUAAUAGUUUACUAGUUUCAAGUGCCCCUUGAUGACACUCUUGUUUUUCUAUGUCAAAGCAUGGCAACUAUAUUUCAAAGUACAUGUUCCAAGUCAUGAUCCUCAUAAGAGAUGUACUUUCCACUUGCAAAAUGAACACUUUUCCCGUAUGCAUGCGUUCUACUCAUAUAGCUUUACUAUAUAGUGAAAUUUUUCAUAAUACACAAGGCAUGCAUUUUAAGUGCUCUAAAAUCCAUAUAAAUUCCAUUUAGCAUAGAAAUCAACUUAAAAAUAUUUUACAACAAGUAGAAAGAGCAUAGAGGCCAUUUCGCCCCAUUUCCACGAAGCCAAACCCACCGAUGACAACGAAACUCCUCGUUCGCUCCCACGAGGGUGUCCUCUAGUCUCCUAGUACCCUAGAGGUAUAGAAACAUGUGUCAUACGAGAUAAACAAACAAUACCUAGCUCAAUCAUUAAGCUAAUCAAGUAUAGGUGAGAAGAACUCACCUCUAGUGCAAAAAUCUCCUCUAAAGCUCCAAAAGAGAGCUAGAGCCCUUCCAAUCCAACCAAAAGGAAGCCUCUAAUCCACUCAAACUAGCUCAAGAGCUCUAGAUUCAAAAUGCCCAAUUUAAGCCCUAAAACCUCAUUCUAGGGUUUCAUCUUACAAAAACCUCAAAUCAAGGAUCAAAGGGAGAAAUCAAGUCUCUAACCUCUCAAGAAGCUCCAAACUUAGCUCCAAUCCAAGUGAUGUUGAAGAUCUCCGCAGCCACUAGCUCCUCUCCAAGCUCUAAGCCAUCAACAAUGGUGGAGAAGCCACCAAGAUGCAAAUAGAGGAGAGAAAACCCAAUAAAAACCAAGCAAAAGGAGUAAAAAUGCAAAGGAAGGGAGAGAGAGCUUCUCCUACCUCCAUUCCUGCUGGUCUCUGCACAGGGGAGGCCCUAAGGGGCGUGGGGUGCACUUAUAGAAGUGCUACAAUAGCAAAAACACCCCUGCAGACCAAACUGCACGAAAACUGCCUCCUUGUACCGGUACACGGGCUCUUGUACCGGUACAAGGCCCACGAAAAUACAAACCCGAGGCUCGGGUCGCGGGGUCUGCGGCUCUGUACCGGUACAAGCCCGAUGGCUGUACCGGUACAACCAUCAACNUCAAUUUAACUCCACUUUCUAGAGUUAUUCAAGAUACCCAAUCUAGAUACUUUUGCUUACAAGUCGAAUAGACCUCGUCUCUCACGAGCCUAUUUCCUAUAGUCCAACCGGCCUAAGGUUUACUAGGUCCCCUAA
rnacentral:lncRNA from 1 species